rnacentral:tRNA from 1 species
GGGGUUGUAGCUCAGUAGUAGAGCACUUGCCUAGCAUGUGUGAGGCUCUGGGUUCGAUCCUCAGCACCCCA